GACGAACGCUGGCGGCGUGCUUAAUACAUGCAAGUCGAACGGAAAGGCCCUGCUUUUGUGGGGUGCUCGAGUGGCGAACGGGUGAGUAACACGUGAGUAACCUGUCCUUGACUUUGGGAUAACUUCAGGAAACUGGGGCUAAUAUCGGAUAGGAGAUCCUGCUGCACGGUGGGGGUUGGAAAGUUUCGGCGGUUGGGGAUGGACUCGCGGCUUAUCAGCUUGUUGGUGGGGUAGUGGCUUACCAAGGCUUUGACGGGUAGCCGGCCUGAGAGGGUGACCGGCCACAUUGGGACUGAGAUACGGCCCAGACUCCUACGGGAGGCAGCAGUGGGGAAUAUUGCACAAUGGGCGGAAGCCUUAUGCAGCAACGCCGCGUGCGAGAUGACGGCCUUCGGGUUGUAAACCGCUUUCGCCUGUGACGAAGCGUGAGUGACGGUAAUGGGUAAAGAAGCACCGGCUAACUACGUG
rnacentral:rRNA from 1 species